ensembl:lncRNA
CAAGAAGUGUGCAUUUCGCCGGCACAACGCGACAAGAAAUGUGCGUUUCGCCGGCAUAACGCGAAGCAUGUGUUCAAAAUGCUACCGUGAACAACAUGUGGAUAUAAAGGUUUUGACUGUGGGAGCUUCGGUGUGGGAGUUAUAGCCUAAAACGCGUUUUCAGAACAUUGGCCAAAUAGGAGAUAGACAAUGUCGUCGUUUUUUGGCGCCGCCCUGUGGCGAAAUUUUCAAAAGAGAAUUUUCCUUUUCCAAAUAACUCCCGCCCACAUCAAUAAUUCUUGACCAUAAUUUUUAUAUAGACUCGGGUUUGCCCCUUGAUGGUUCCCUCAUAGUUUGAAGAACAUUCCUUUUGCCAAUUAGAAGAUAUACAAUUUCCUCGUUUAUUGCGCCCCCUAAUGGCAAAAUUUUCCGAUUUUUUUAUCGAACGCCAUUAAGGGUAGCACCGACAUGUGUCUAAAAUUUGGACUUGAUCCGAUGUCUAAUUUUGGUAUUUUCUGAAUUUUUGCGUAUCGACGUAAAACGUAGCUAAUAAAGCAAUAUUCAAAACGCUACCGUUUCGUAGUCGAAGGUCGGAUCAAAAAGUGUUUGAGUUUUUCUUUUCGUGUUCGUCUGACGAUGUCGUGUGCAAAGUUUGGUGUCGAUUGGUCAAGAAAUGUGGGAGGAGUAGGGAAAAAACAGUUUUGCGGUUUUCGCGAUUUUGCGAAAAAAAAUUCUAGACGCAAAUGGGCGUGGCCUAUGUCAAAAGAUGCAGCAGACUCCAGUGAAUAUGUGGGUACAAGUUUUUGACUGUGGAAGGUUCGGUGUGGGAGUUAUAGCCCCAAACGCGUAUUCCUUGGUAUAGCGCCACCUAGUGGCCGGCAUGUCUGGAUUUUGUCGUCUGCAUAGUCUUCACGUACCUGGAUCUAGU